GACGAACGCUGGCGGCGUGCCUAAUACAUGCAAGUUGAGCGCUGAAGGUUGGUACUUGUACCAACUGGAUGAGCAGCGAACGGGUGAGUAGCGCGUGGGGAAUCUGCCUUUGAGCGGGGGACAACAUUUGGAAACGAAUGCUAAUACCGCAUAAAAACUUUAAACACAAGUUUUAAGUUUGAAAGAUGCAAUUGCAUCACUCAAAGAUGAUCCCGCGUUGUAUUAGCUAGUUGGUGAGGUAAAGGCUCACCAAGGCGAUGAUACAUAGCCGACCUGGGAGGGUGAUCGGCCACAUUGGGACUGGGACACGGCCCAAACUCCUACGGGAGGCAGCAGUAGGGAAUCUUCGGCAAUGGACGAAAGUCUGACCGAGCAACGCCGCGUGAGUGAAGAAGGUUUUCGGAUCGUAAAACUCGGUUGGUAGAGAAGAACGUUGGUGAGAGUGGAAAGCUCAUCAAGUGACGGUAACUACCCAGAAAGGGACGGCUAACUACGUG
rnacentral:rRNA from 1 species